AAACAACUCUACUUGAAUGUUUCAGCGAAAGAUGAUCUCGGCUCUGCGCGAUGAAGAACGCAGCGAAAUGCGAUAAGUAGUGUGAAUUGCAGAAUUCAGUGAAUCAUCGA
rnacentral:rRNA from 1 species